UCACCAAAAUUCCCACAUCAUAAUAAAUUCAUGCCUAUUAUAUACAAAAAAAAAAAAAAAAAAAAAAAAAAAGGAAGGCAUAUCAUCACCAUAUUCACAUACACAUACAGUAAAGAAGCGACGAAAAUCAUCAUCUUGAACAAAAGGAAGGCACGCCAUUUUUCUUUCUUUCUCUGGACCAAUAGAGAAACAUUUUUUUCUUUUUCUUUCUUAUUCAACAAAAGACACACUCACCUCUUUCUUCUACACAAGAAAUCGCACAAACCAUUCAUCCUCACCGAAAAACGUACACCUACGCGCACACACUGUUCACAUAUGCAUAGAGGGAGUGAGAGAGGACGGAAGGGAGAUCAAAAGUGAGAGAUCAAAAGGGAGAAAAGAUACAAAAAAAUGUACUGAAAAGGGGGAAGGGAACCAGCUUUUUCAGCAAAACCUUCGCCGGAAUCGACUCUACACCGCAAUUAGGCCGACCCACCUCCGUAAUCCCAAAAUUUCUCUUUUUCUAGUGGUUUUCUAGAUGAAAUCGGCCGAAAAACACUGAUGUCUCACUGAAAAUCAUCAUACGGGUUCUCAGCUUCAUCUUGAAAAGCUUGAUUUCGGGUUGUUUCUGUCUAUUUUCCGCGAUUUUGUUCAAACGAAUGAAAAACAGAGCAAAAGUCAAAAUACCGAGACUUGGUUUCAUUGUUGGGUCUGUUUCGGGGUUCAUCGGUUCACGAAGCUUCCGUCGCUGUUGAAAUCGAUACAAAUUGAUCGAAUAAAAGGAACAUUGAGGAUCUAUUUGGACUUUUUGUUUUGUCGGUGUUCCGUCAUAGAGCACAAAUGGCCCCUCAAUCUCAGAGGCAAAAGGAACUAUGCAUGAGUCAUCAAGCCCACAAAGAAGGAUCUAGAGCAGGAUUACUAGGGUGUGUCAUGGGUUUCAUUCGACUCUCAUUCACAGCAUUGGGACUCCUACGCUUCAGAAUGAUAGAACCAUUAGGACCUAAAGAGAAGGCUACAUCAUGAAGUACAGUAAGUAAAUAAAUUCUUCUAUGAAAGCUUUUCAGAUAUUGAUGGUGUAACGGAAAAUUUUUUGAAAGAUAAUACCAACUCUAGCCAUGUCAUUGUUAUUUUUCUUACAAAUAAAAUUAAUUAGAGCAUGAUAGAAAAUGAAAUUUCUGAUGAAAAAAGAUAUAAGAAGAGGACAGAUCAAAACAAGUAAUGAAUCUUAGGAGAUGCUGGCGAACACUUACAUUUAGAUGAUUGGUGGACACAACUCUUGAGGAGCUAGUAGUUUUAAUCCACUUGGUGCCAGAUGAUAGACCAAGAGCUUCUGCAAUAGGUAGGUAUAUUGUUGUCCCGGUCUGUACCUCCUUUUCCCAGUUAAUAGAAUGGCCACCAAGAAACUUACCACGUUUCUUUGGUGGCACAGAACUCUGAAAAACCUUUGCAGGAGCAUGUAACUUGGAUUCAGAACACUCAUUUUCUAGUCCAUGUGAUAAAGACAUUAAUCACUUGCCCUUAUCACAUUCUUCACGGCAAUAAUCCUCUUGAGCAUCUUCGAACAAUAACCCCGUAUGCAAUAUCUAAAAGGAAGAGAAAAGAUAGAAUUUAUAAAAACGGAAAAAGGACUACAUAUGCAUAAAAGAUAAAGGUAGUAUAUAAGAGAAUUAAAUGCUACAACAUGCUAAUGGAAGAAUCAAUGUAUCCUUUAGGUGGAACCUAAUAUCCAAUAUCAUUUAGAAUCCGCUUUGAAGAAUGCCAGGAAGAUUAGACAGCUCGAAGAGGUCCUAAUUCUCCCCUAAGAGGUCAUAUUACUUCCAUUUAGGCUUCUAGUUUUGAUCCAUCUUUAAUCUCUAUUUAAGAUUCCAAAAUAAGGGUGUCAAAUGAGUUCACAGAUUUAGUCAUAAUUUGAUCCAUGGAUGAGUAGACAGAUUUGAUUCUAAUCUGCUCCACAAUUGAGUAGGCAGAUAUAUAUGAUUGCAAUCUACUGUAAAUAUGUGAUAUCAUAUAUUGUUACUCUAGGAGAAUAGAUAAGAGGAAAUCCCUUGAUUCAUGUAUCUCCUAGGCUAAGUUGCAUAAACUCGGGUAGCGGGUCUUGAUUGGGGAGCUGCCAAAGGCACACCAGAACUGCCAGUAUAAUAAUGCCUCGGAGUGAAUCCUGGCGCGUGCUCAGUUGACUCAGUAGGAGCAAAAAAUUGCGCCUGAGAGAGCGGUGGGCAAUUAGAGAUAUUCCCAAAACCUUCAGGGAGUGGAGGAGAAGGCAUUCCGCUGGCAAAAGCCCGGUGCAAAUCUAUCA